UGGGGAAUUUUGGACAAUGGGGGAAACCCUGAUCCAGCCAUCCCGCGUGUGCGAUGAAGGCCUUCGGGUUGUAAAGCACUUUUGGCAGGAAAGAAACGUCAUGGGUUAAUACCCCAUGAAACUGACGGUACCUGCAGAAUAAGCACCGGCUAACUACGUGCCAGCAGCCGCGGUAAUACGUAGGGUGCAAGCGUUAAUCGGAAUUACUGGGCGUAAAGCGUGCGCAGGCGGUUCGGAAAGAAAGAUGUGAAAUCCCAGAGCUUAACUUUGGAACUGCAUUUUUAACUACCGGGCUAGAGUGUGUCAGAGGGAGGUGGAAUUCCGCGUGUAGCAGUGAAAUGCGUAGAUAUGCGGAGGAACACCGAUGGCGAAGGCAGCCUCCUGGGAUAACACUGACGCUCAUGCACGAAAGCGUGGGGAGCAAACAGG
rnacentral:rRNA from 1 species